AUGAACUUAAACCCAACACUGCAGGUUGGGAUAUUUACAUCUUAAAUCCAGGUUACAGGAAAAUCGACUGUGGAACUCCAAAAGACAUUUCUGGUACAUU